CUCACCGCCAAACCUUUUUUAACAAUGCUGUCCAAGAAACCAAAAAAGUCCAAUCCUACCUUUCACACCACUUCCCGUCUCACCUCCGGAUUAACUGUGAGGAGCUGGGGAAGAACGCCUUGGUGCCCCAGUACACCUGAUAUUCCCUGGCCUGCUGAGUGUUUCUGGUACGAGAGAUUGUAAUGUUCUGAGUCAGAAGAAAGCUUACACCGAGCUCCGUUGGAACAGGUUCAGUACCGUGACACAGCACAUAGUGGUAGUGCCUCAGGGCUCCAGCAGCCCAAGUUGUAUAUGAUCUCUGAUUCUCUCUGUGCGAAGUUUGCUCCUCCUCCCCAUGAUGGAACUUAAAAAUAGAAACACUUUCCACUGCCGACCCCUCAAUGAGAACUGGUGCGCGUACCCUCGACUGCCGCUUCUUGAAGUCCACAAUCAAUUCCUUGGCUUUACUGACGUUGAAUGCAAUGUUGUUGCGGCAGCACUCAACCAGCUGAUCUAUCUCACUCCUGUACACCGCCUCGUCACCAUCUGAGAUACUGCCAACAGUUGUGUCAUCGGCAAAUUUAUAGAAGUAAACAGAACUGUUGAAUUAUGUGGGCUAUCUCUGGACUGUAAACUUGACUAAGUCCAUAAAUAGGCUCUGUGGUAGAUUUUUUUAUUUGCAUGGUUCUGCUGACAAGCUGCUCCCUGAAUCUUGAUUACUUCCAGCUUCAUGAAAUCAACACAAUGGAAAUUAACAAAUUCUAUAAAGGAUAUUUCCAGCUUCAGCAAUUAUUGUCUGUGAGGACAAUUUGUAACUCAUUUUUGUCUUGAACAAGAGUCUAAGAGUUGAGCAGGACAAUUAUGCAGCAAGACUGAAGAGAAAAACUGAAAUUGUCAGUGUGCUUUCUGAAUCUUCCAGCAGUUCAUACAGAGUUAUAACCAAAUAGAACAGACAACUUCAAAACAGUACACAAGAAAUAAACAAUCAAUUUCUUUAAAAGUCUCUUCAGAAAGGAGCACAGAAGUAGUGCAAUGGUUAGCACAAUGCUAUUACAACUCAGGGUAUCAGAGCUCAGAGAUUAAUUCCAAAGCCACCUGUAUGGAGCUUGUAUAUUCUUCCUGUGACCACGAGGGUUCCUCCCACAGUCUUAAGCCUGAUUUAUACUUCCACGUCGCAGGUACACCGUAGGUAGCAAGUACCCUACGCCAUAGGGUGUUGUGCACCUCCCCAAAAAAGUAACUCACGUGUCGCAGCAACGCAGACCGCAACAACUGUGAUUGGUCCGCUUGGUAGCAUCGUAUUUUCUCCUACGCAUUUCUGGUUGCUUCUUCUCCGCCGUGCCUGUAGACCAAUGCGAAAUAGAUGAACCAAAUUGUCAAAUCUACCUGCCGACAUGCGAAAAUGUUUGAAAUGCAUUUCCUCCUCCAUGUCUCUCAUGAAGAAACUCAACACAGUGGCAUAGAAACCCCACCGCCAACUAGCGUUUUGGCACACACCAACGCAUGCGCACUAUGGCGUAGAACGACGCAGAAGUGAAAAUCAAUGGCCUAUGGCUACAGCGUAGCCCAUAUGCACAAGUAUAAAUCAGCCUUAAAGAUGUAUCAGUUGAUAGUUCAAUUGCUCAUUAUAAAUUGUCCUGUGAUUAGGCUGGUGUUAAGUAGCUGAGUUGCUCAGUGGUGGGGCUCUUUGGGCCAGAAGGGUCUGUUCCGCACUAUAACUCUAAAUUUAAAAAAAUUAAGUAAAAAUUGCGCUGUCAUUUUGGCAAUUCCAUUACCCAAACUCAUUGUCUCUACCACCAAGAAGGACACGAGCAAAUGAAAAUGCAUGCCCCCUCCAGCCCCACACCACCCAACUUGACAACACGCUUUAUUGUUGCUGGCUUUAAAUCCCCAAACUCCAACACCAUUACGAGAGAACCUUCGCCUGCAUUCCCAGAAGGUACUUAACCACUACCUCCUAAAGUUCACUUAAAGAUGAGUCAAUAAACAUUUGUCUUACCAGUAAAACCAAGAGCCUGAAAGAAAGAAUGAUUAGAAAUAUAUACUAUGCCCAUGAGAGAAAUUGCUCCUUACACUUUAUUAGUUAAAGAAAAAUUGACCACAACAGGAAGGGUAAAAAUGUGCUCAACAAUACAGCCCGGAUGACUUCAGUGAGUUUAUCCAGCAAGUAAUGAACCAUUCAGUUCAAGAAGGACUGAUCUACAUUCUAUGCUGUUAGUUGACGAUCCAGAUGGUGACAGAGGCAUUUGAAUUGGCCUCAAAAUAUUUGGGUUAGGAAAGAACAAAUUGGCAAGGAUUCUCACUCUGAUCACUGUCCAGCAAAGUGCGUGUGGCCAGAAAGAGGGAAAAUACGCAGCACUAACUUACCUUAAAAACGUCUACAAGGCCUGAGCUGUAAAAGUAAUGCAUGCACAAUAGCUAUAUAGGUUCCAGAUGUCUUUUGGUGACACAUUCUUGGACGGAAGGGGAGGUGGUUACUCCAAGACAAGAUGUUCAUUAAGCCUUGUGCAGACUUCUCUUUUAAAAAUAAAAUAACUAAGGUGGGUGGGGAUAAAAUAGAAAGAAUAGGUGCUAAUAGACAUCUCAAUAUUGCAGUGCACAGGAUGAGAGAUUGAAUGGCUGGAGGGAACCAGAGGUUAUCUACUUGAGACAGAUGCUAUUUUAAUGCAUGACCAGUGACAGGUCAAGCAUUAAAAUUGCCUCUAUUCACCAACCUUAAGCACAAAAAGCCAAAAAGUGCCUGAGUGGCACGGCCGCGGUGUGGUUAGCAAAACACUUUACAGUACAAGCAAGCCGGGUUCAUUUCCUCUAAGGAGUUUGUACGUCCUUCCCGUGACUGCAUGGGUUUCCUCAGGGUGCUCCAGUUUCCUCCCACAUUCCUAAGACCUUGGUAACUUAGUUGGUUAUUGUAAAUUGUCAAUGAUGUCAGUGAUUAGGCUAGGAUUGAAUUAGGGGAUUACUGGGCCACAAGGCUCGAAGGGCCAGAUGGGCCCAAUCCAACUGUGUUUUUUUUAAUAGAAAAUGUAGAAACACCGAAAUGUAGAACACUGAUUUCACAGUACAGGCCUUUCAGCCCCAAUGUUGUGCCUACCUUUUAAUCAGCUCCAAGAUCACUCGAACUGUUCCCUUCCUAUGCAGUCCAUAAGCCUCCACUUUUUUCUUUCAUCCAUGUGCCUAUCCAAGAGUUUCUUAACAGUCCCAGGUAUAUCAGCCUCUACCACCACCUUCAGCAAUGGAUGCCAGGCACGUACCACCCUAUGUGAAAAAAAACUACCUCUGACAUCUCCCCAGGCAGCAUUGUAGCUUUACAAAACAGACAACCUGGGUUCAAUUCCUGCCACUUUUUAUAAGUUUGUAUGUUCUCCCUAUGACCUCGGGGGUUUCCUUCGGGUGCUCCAGUUUCCUCCCACAGUCUAAAGAUGUACCGGUUGGUAGGUUCAUUGGCCAUUGUAAAUUGUCCUAUGAUUAGGCUAGGAUUAAACAUUGGGGGAUUGCUGGGUGGCGUGGUUUGGAGGGAUGGAAGGGCCUAUUCCAUGCUGUAUAUCAAUAAAUAAAUAUUUCUUCCCCAAUGUCAGCUUGCAGAGAAGACCUGAUGGGCCAAAUAGCCUAAUUCUUCUCCUAUAUCAUAUAGUUUAGAUCUUCCUCCAUGUACCUUAAAAAGAUGUCCUCUACUACUAGCCUUUGUUGCCCUGGUAAAAGCUGCUCAUGGUCCUCCAGAUCUACGCUUCAUCUUAUCACCUCUCCACUCCAGAGAGAAAAAGCCUAGCUCUCGCAACCUUUCCUCAUAAGACAUGUUCCCUAAUCCAGGUUUCAUCCUGGUAAACCUCCUCUGCACCCUCUCUAAAGCUUCCACAUCCUUCCUGUAAUGAGGCAACCAGAACUGAACACAAUAUUCCAAGUGUAAUAUAACAAUUUUUUUAGAAUAGCAACAUAAAUGACAAUACGUGAUAAUAUGAUGUAUUGCAUCUCUCAGAAGAGACUCAAAGUGCAUAUUUUGUGCAUUGUCUAAUAUUUCUGUCAGCAGGCCUGGCCGCCAUCUUG